CUGGUAACAAUCACAUGCGAUUU
rnacentral:snRNA from 1 species